GAUGAACGCUGGCGGCGUGCUUAACACAUGCAAGUCGAACGGAAAGGCCUCUGCUUGCAGGGGUACUCGAGUGGCGAACGGGUGAGUAACACGUGGGUGAUCUGCCCUGCACUUCGGGAUAAGCCUGGGAAACUGGGUCUAAUACCGGAUAGGACAAUGGUUUGGAUGCUGUUGUGGAAAGUUUUUCGGUGUGGGAUGAGCUCGCGGCCUAUCAGCUUGUUGGUGGGGUAAUGGCCUACCAAGGCGUCGACGGGUAGCCGGCCUGAGAGGGUGUACGGCCACAUUGGGACUGAGAUACGGCCCAGACUCCUACGGGAGGCAGCAGUGGGGAAUAUUGCACAAUGGGCGCAAGCCUGAUGCAGCGACGCCUCGUGGGGGAUGACGGCCUUCGGGUUGUAAACUCCUUUCGCUAGGGACGAAGCGUUUUUGUGACGGUACCUGGAGAAGAAGCACCGGCUAACUACGUG
rnacentral:rRNA from 1 species